UGGGGAAUCUUCCGCAAUGGACGAAAGUCUGACGGAGCAACGCCGCGUGAGUGAAGACGGCCUUCGGGUUGUAAAGCUCUGUGAUUCGGGACGAAAGGCUAUAUGUGAAUAAUAUAUGGAAAUGACGGUACCGAAAAAGCAAGCCACGGCUAACUACGUGCCAGCAGCCGCGGUAAUACGUAGGUGGCAAGCGUUGUCCGGAAUUAUUGGGCGUAAAGCGCGCGCAGGCGGUCACUUAAGUCCAUCUUAGAAGUGCGGGGCUUAACCCCGUGAUGGGAUGGAAACUGGGAGACUGGAGUAUCGGAGAGGAAAGUGGAAUUCCUAGUGUAGCGGUGAAAUGCGUAGAUAUUAGGAAGAACACCGGUGGCGAAGGCGACUUUCUGGACGAAAACUGACGCUGAGGCGCGAAAGCGUGGGGAGCAAACAGG
rnacentral:rRNA from 1 species